rnacentral:rRNA from 1 species
GACGAACGCUGGCGGCGUGCCUAAUACAUGCAAGUCGAACGCUUUGAUUUUCACCGGAGCUUGCUCCACCGAAAAUCAAAGAGUGGUGGACGGGUGAGUAACACGUGGGCAACCUGCCCAACAGAGGGGGAUAACACUUGGAAACAGGUGCUAAUACCGCAUAAUUUGUUUUUCCGCAUGGAAGAAUAAUAAAAGACGCUUCGGUGUCACUGUUGGAUGGGCCCGCGCUGCAUUAGUUAGUUGGUGGGGUAACGGCCUACCAAGACCAUGAUGCAUAGCCGACCUGAGAGGGUGAUCGGCCACACUGGGACUGAGACACGGCCCAGACUCCUACGGGAGGCAGCAGUAGGGAAUCUUCGGCAAUGGACGAAAGUCUGACCGAGCAGCGCCGCGUGAGUGAAGAAGGUUUUCGGAUCGUAAAACUCUGUUGUUAGAGAAGAACAAGUGAGAGAGUUACUGUUCUCACCUUGACGGUAUCUAACCAGAAAGCCACGGCUAACUACGUGCCAGCAGCCGCGGUAAUACGUAGGUGGCAAGCGUUGUCCGGAUUUAUUGGGCGUAAAGCGAGCGCAGGCGGUUUCUUAAGUCUGAUGUGAAAGCCCUCGGCUCAACCGAGGAAGGUCAUUGGAAACUGGGGAACUUGAGUGCAGAAGAGGAGAGUGGAAUUCCAUGUGUAGCGGUGAAAUGCGUAGAUAUAUGGAGGAACACCAGUGGCGAAGGCGACUCUCUGGUCUGUAACUGACGCUGAGGCUCGAAAGCGUGGGGAGCAAACAGG